rnacentral:rRNA from 1 species
GGUGGUUGAACAGACUGCCAGCUGAUAGUAGCAGAAGAGGAAGGGACGGCUAACUCUGUGCCAGCAGCCGCGGUAAUACAGAGGUCCCAAGCGUUGUUCGGAUUCACUGGGCGUAAAGGGUGCGUAGGCGUGGGGUAAGUUUGAGGUGAAAUCUCCGGGCUCAACCCGGAAAUUGCCUUGAAGACUAUCCUGCUAGAGGAUCGGAGGGGAGACUGGAAUUCUCGGUGUAGCAGUGAAAUGCGUAGAUAUCGAGAGGAACACCAGUGGCGAAGGCGAGUCUCUGGACGAUUCCUGACGCUGAGGCACGAAAGCCAGGGGAGCAAACGGGAUUAGAUACCCCGGUAGUCCUGGCCCUAAACGGUGCGCACUUGCUGUGGGCGGAUUCGACCCCGUCCGUGGCGAAGGAAACCCGAUAAGUGCGCCGCCUGGGGAGUACGGUCGCAAGAUUAAAAACUCAAAGAAAUUGACGGGGGCCUGCACAAGCGGUGGAGUAUGUGGC